AGUGAACGCUGGCGGUAGACCUAACACAUGCAAGUCGAACGGCAGCACAGUAAGAGCUUGCUCUUACGGGUGGCGAGUGGCGGACGGGUGAGGAAUACAUCGGAAUCUACUUUUUCGUGGGGGAUAACGUAGGGAAACUUACGCUAAUACCGCAUACGACCUACGGGUGAAAGCAGGGGAUCUUCGGACCUUGCGCGAUUGAAUGAGCCGAUGUCGGAUUAGCUAGUUGGCGGGGUAAAGGCCCACCAAGGCGACGAUCCGUAGCUGGUCUGAGAGGAUGAUCAGCCACACUGGAACUGAGACACGGUCCAGACUCCUACGGGAGGCAGCAGUGGGGAAUAUUGGACAAAGGGCGCAAGCCUGAUCCAGCCAUACCGCGUGGGUGAAGAAGGCCUUCGGGUUGUAAAGCCCUUUUGUUGGGAAAGAAAAGCAGCAGGUUAAUACCCCGCUGUUCUGACGGUGCCCAAAGAAUAAGCACCGGCUAACUUCGUG
rnacentral:rRNA from 1 species